CCAGCGGAGGGAUCAUUACCGAGUUUACAACUCCCAAACCCCAAUGUGAAACGUUACCAAUCUGUUGCCUCGGCGGGAUUCUCUGGCCCCGGGCGCGUCGCAAGCCCCGGAUCCCAUGGCGCCCGCCGGAGGACCAACUCCAAACUCUUUUCUCUCUCCGUCGCGGCUCCCGUCGCGGCUCUGGUUUUAUUUUUGCUCUGAGCCUUUCUCGGCGACCCUAGCGGGCGUCUCGAAAAUGAAUCAAAACUUUCAACAACGGAUCUCUUGGUUCUGGCAUCGAUGAAGAACGCAGCGAAAUGCGAUAAGUAAUGUGAAUUGCAGAAUUCAGUGAAUCAUCGAAUCUUUGAACGCACAUUGCGCCCGCCAGUAUUCUGGCGGGCAUGCCUGUCCGAGCGUCAUUUCAACCCUCGAACCCCUCCGGGGGGUCGGCGUUGGGGAUCGGCCCCUCACCGGGCCGCCCCCGAAAUACAGUGGCGGUCUCGCCGCAGCCUCUCAUGCGCAGUAGUUUGCACACUCGCACCGGGAGCGCGGCGCGGCCACAGCCGUAAAACACCCCAAAUUUUCUGAAAUGUUGACCUCGGAUCAGGUAGGAAUACCCGCUGAACUUAAGCAUAUCAAUAAGCGGAGGAAAAGAAACCAACAGGGAUUGCCCCAGUAACG
rnacentral:rRNA from 1 species